rnacentral:rRNA from 1 species
GACAGAGGAUGCAAACGUUGCUCGGAUUUACUGGGCGUAAAGCGCGCGCAGGCGGUCUUGUAAGUCGGACGUGAAAUCCCCUCGGCUUAACCGGGGAACGGCGUCCGAUACUGGAUGGCUUGAGUUUGGGAGAGGGAUGCGGAAUUCCAGGUGUAGCGGUGAAAUGCGUAGAUAUCUGGAGGAACACCGGUGGCGAAGGCGGCAUCCUGGACCAAAACUGACGCUGAAUAGCGAAAGCCAGGGGAGCAAACGGG